GACGAACGCUGGCGGCGUGCCUAAUACAUGCAAGUAGAACGCACAGUUUAUACCGUAGCUUGCUACACCAUAGACUGUGAGUUGCGAACGGGUGAGUAACGCGUAGGUAACCUGCCUGGUAGCGGGGGAUAACUAUUGGAAACGAUAGCUAAUACCGCAUAAUAUUAAUUAUUGCAUGAUAAUUAAUUGAAAGGUGCAAUUGCACCACUACCAGAUGGACCUGCGUUGUAUUAGCUAGUAGGUGAGGUAACGGCUCACCUAGGCGACGAUACAUAGCCGACCUGAGAGGGGGGUCGGCCACACUGGGACUGGGACACGGCCCAGACUCCUACGGGAGGCAGCAGUAGGGAAUCUUCGGCAAUGGACGAAAGUCUGACCGAGCAACGCCGCGUGAGUGGAGAAGGUUUUCGGAUCGUAAAGCUCUGUUGUAAGAGAAGAACGGGUGUGAGAGUGGAAAGUUCACACUGUGACGGUAUCUUACCAGAAAGGGACGGCUAACUACGUG
rnacentral:rRNA from 1 species